CCAGCCCGCCGCCGCCGCAUCCUCGUCGAAGCCAAAGUCUGUUUCUCCUUGCUGUUUUCCUUUUAUCUUUCUCUCAUUUGUUUCGCAUCAUUUCGAUCUGUAACUUACCGUGGUCCUCUCUUGUUCAUGCGGGCGGGGGCACGAACUAUUUUGUGCGGCGCCGCCCAUGCAAAGAGGGGAUAGAUCGACGCGUCAAGAAAUCGUUUCAGUUGCCAUGACUCCAGUAGGCAAUAUGAUUGUUGCUUGACCACAGUUUUGCCCCUCAAUACUACGUCUCUUGCCGUGUUUUAGUCUCGUUUGCGUUUUUUUAGGAUCAAAAUCGGUUUAGGCACGGUGCUAACCCCGGGCUUGUCGGAUUACACCUUGAAGAAGGAAGCCCCAAUGCCUGUGCUAGAUCCACCAUGCCAUUCAGUGUUGCAGGCUAUGACAAAUCUUGUGAUUGGUCUGUGUCAAAGCAAUGGAUACACAUAUUCUUUAACAGCUUAGCUCCUAUGAACUUUCUUUGCUUUUUUCGUUGAUUGAUGGCAGUGUUUUGUUUGAUUGAUGGCGGUGAUUUGACAUUACCCGCGCUUCUGAUGUAACACGUGAAGCAAAGGUAAAAAUAAUGGUUGAAUUUCUUAAUAUGAGCCAUCCAUGAUGAUACAACCUUUCAGCUUACAACGCCAGUUUUGCUUCUGAGAAUUCAUGACAGAUAAAGCUGAUACGCGUCUGAGCCUUGAUCUGUGUUUGUGCACAUUCAUACUCAGUUUAGAAUAAUUCGUUUAUGCAUCAAUCUGAACAUAGCAUACCAUUGGCCACUGAUGAAAUCGCCCAAUGUUUGGAGGUUGCAAUCGGUUCCAAGUUCCUGCUUGUCAGGAAGAACCUACUUGGAGCCCUGCACUCGAAUGACAACAAUGGGCAAUGCUGAGGUCCUAGAUGCUAUGUCUAAAUGUUUUUGGUUUAUUCUUUUAGUUUCAUUGCCUUGAUCUCUCUAGUGUUUGUGCACAUUCAUACUCACUUUAGAAUAAGUUGUUUAUGCAUCAAUCUGAACAUCACAUACCAUUGGCCACUGAUGAAAUCGCCCAAUGUUUGGAGGCUGCAAUCGGCUCCAAGUUCCUGCUUGUCAGGAAGAACCUACUUGGAGCCCUGCACUCAAAUGACAACAAUGGGCAAUACUGAGGUCCUAGAUUCUAGUUUUAAAUGUGUUUGGUUUAUUCUUUUAGUUUCAUUGAUCAGCUGUCCAAACAAUGAUGCUGUGUUAUGUGCCGAGUUUAACUAUCCUUGCGCAAGUGCUUUCUGAUUUGCGGGGAGGCUGAAAAGCUCGGAGAGUGUGUGUUGUCAUCAGCUUCGUCUCUUUUUUACUGUGAGAUGGGAGUUAAAUAACAGCACGAGAUUGUCUACUCCUGCGUGAUUCAAUAGUGGAUCAGAUUUUCUUUGUUCCUUGCAACAAAAUUAACAUUUCAGCCUUAAGGAAGCCUAGGGAAUUUUGCUCAACAAAUAGCCCAGGUCUAUCUACCAAGUUAGUCAAAGCCCAAAGUGCAUCUCUCCCGUACAUAAGGCCACCUCCAAAGGUGCUGGCGAAGUUGUCAGCUGACGUGGAUCCAAGAAACAAUAGAACUUGAAAAGAUAAAAAUGAUUCUGUCCUUGGUUGCAGCGUUCCCACACUCAACACAUGGAAAGCCGCAACAGGCAGCCAGCGAUGUCACUGGAUGUUGGACAAGGCCUGAUGUGUCCCUGAAAGCCUAAAGCAAGGACAAAUGUGUCCCUGAAAGCCGAAGCCAAGGCGUACAUAGCCCCUGCUUUAUUCUUUAUUCAUUUGAAGCUGCCCUGCUUUAUUAUUUAUUUGUUCAAAGCUGUAUCCCUGAUUAUAUUAUUGUCUUUUUUGUGGUAGAUUGGUUGAUUUGAGAUUGGAGCAGUGAUGAGCAUUUUUCGUGGACUAGAGUUUCUGAUACUGCCUUCGUAGUAUUUGAUGACCAAACCCUUGGCUGUCUGAGCGCUGAAUUCUCACUCUACCUUUUUAUUGUUUACUUAGAUUGUUAUUUGCUUUCUGAUGUGAUAGUUGACCCGAGAUUUGAGUGAUGAUGACUAUUGUGUUUUGGACUAGAGUUUCUGAUGCUCCACUUUGUGGUAGUAUUUGAAGACCAAACCCUUGGCUGUCUGAACUCAAAUCUUACAUGUCACCAGUGUCUUUAUCAUCUUUAGAUUAAGGUUUGUAUCCAAUAUUCUUUACUUAGAUGCUUCAAUUACUAAUUCUGGAGGAUGAUCUUGUUCCUCUUGGUAUAAUGGCUUGGGGCCACACUCUUGAUGUGUGGUUAUAUCC